AUUGAACGCUGGCGGCAUGCCUUACACAUGCAAGUCGAACGGCAGCACGGGAGCUUGCUCCUGGUGGCGAGUGGCGAACGGGUGAGUAAAGCAUCGGAACGUGCCCUGAAGUGGGGGAUAACGUAGCGAAAGUUACGCUAAUACCGCAUAUUCUGUGAGCAGGAAAGCAGGGGAUCUUCGGACCUUGUGCUUUAGGAGCGGCCGAUGUCGGAUUAGCUAGUUGGUGAGGUAAAGGCUCACCAAGGCGACGAUCCGUAGCGGGUCUGAGAGGAUGAUCCGCCACACUGGGACUGAGACACGGCCCAGACUCCUACGGGAGGCAGCAGUGGGGAAUUUUGGACAAUGGGCGCAAGCCUGAUCCAGCCAUGCCGCGUGAGUGAAGAAGGCCUCGGUUGUAAGCUCUUUCGGCGGGAGGAAAGUAGGCACUCUCUAAUACAGGUGUAGAUGACGGUACCGCAUAAGAAGCACCGGCUACUACGUGCC
rnacentral:rRNA from 1 species